rnacentral:rRNA from 1 species
UCCGUGCCAGCAGCCGCGGUAAUACGGAGGGUCCGAGCGUUAUCCGGAAUCAUUGGGUUUAAAGGGUCCGUAGGCGGGCCUGUAAGUCAGGGGUGAAAGUUUGUGGCUCAACCAUAAAAUUGCCUUUGAUACUGCAGGUCUUGAGUCAUGGUGGGGUUGCCGGAACAUGUGGUGUAGCGGUGAAAUGCAUAGAUAUCACAUAGAACACCGAUCGCGAAGGCAGGUGACCAACCAUGUACUGACGCUGAUGGACGAAAGCGUGGGUAGCGAACGGGAUUAGAUACCCCGGUAGUCCACGCCGUAAACGAUGGAUACUAGCUGUGGGGACUUCGGUCUCCGUGGCCAAGCGAAAGUGAUAAGUAUCCCACCUGGGGAGUACGUUCGCAAGAAUGAAACUCAAAGGAAUUGACGGGGGCCCGCACAAGCGGUGGAGCAUGUGGUUUAAUUCGAUGAUACGCGAGGAACCUUACCAGGGCUUAAAUGCAGGCUGCAUGGGGUAGAGAUACCCCUUUCUUCGGACCGCCUGCAAGGUGCUGCAUGGUUGUCGUCAGCUCGUGCCGUGAGGUGUCAGGUUAAGUCCUAUAACGAGCGCAACCCCUACCGUUAGUUGCCAGCAUGUCAAGAUGGGGACUCUAACGGGACUGCCGGUGCAAACCGUGAGGAAGGUGGGGACGACGUCAAAUCAUCACGGCCCUUACGUCCUGGGCUACACACGUGCUACAAUGGCCGGUACAGAGGGAAGCCACCCCGCAAGGGGGCGCGGAUCUACAAAACCGGUCACAGUUCGGAUCGGGGUCUGCAACUCGACCCCGUGAAGCUGGAAUCGCUAGUAAUCGGAUAUCAGCCAUGAUCCGGUGAAUACGUUCCCGGGCCUUGUACACACCGCCCGUCAAGCCAUGGAAGCCGGGGAAGUGCCUGAAGUCCGUCACCGAGGAGGAGC